UGGCGAUGAGGAGAGAGUUACGGUGUUGAGUGGCGGUGAUAGCUUUAUACGCUAUUCUGAGUCAGCG